AUUGAACGCUGGCGGCAUGCCUUACACAUGCAAGUCGAACGGCAGCACGGGUGCUUGCACCUGGUGGCGAGUGGCGAACGGGUGAGUAAUACAUCGGAACAUGUCCUGUAGUGGGGGGUAGCCCGGCGAAAGCCGGAUUAAUACCGCAUACGAACUACGGAUGAAAGCGGGGGACCUUCGGGCCUCGCGCUAUAGGGUUGGCAGAUAGCUGAUUAGCUAGUUGGUGGGGUAAAGGCCUACCAAGGCGACGAUCAGUAGCUGAUCUGAGAGGACGACCAGCCACACUGGAACUUGGCCACGGCCCAGACGCCUACGGGAGGCAGCAGUGGGGAAUUUUGGACAAUGGGCGAAAGCCUGAUCCAGCAAUGCCGCGUGUGUGAAGAAGGCCUUCGGGUUGUAAAGCACUUUUGUCCGGAAAGAAAUCCUUGGCUCUAAUACAGUCGGGGGAUGACGGUACCGGAAGAAUAAGCACCGGCUAACUACGUG
rnacentral:rRNA from 1 species